rnacentral:rRNA from 1 species
GACGAACGCUGGCGGCGUGCCUAAUACAUGCAAGUCGAACGAGAGCGACCGGUGCUUGCACUGGUCAAUCUAGUGGCGAACGGGUGAGUAACACGUGGGUAACCUGCCCAUCAGCGGGGGAUAACAUCCGGAAACGGAUGCUAAAACCGCAUAGGUCUUCGAACCGCAUUGUUUGAAGAGGAAAAGAGGCGCAAGCUUCUGCUGAUGGAUGGACCCGCGGUGCAUUAGGUAGUUGGUGAGGUAACGGCUCACCAAGGCCGUGAUGCAUAGCCGACCUGAGAGGGUGAUCGGCCACAUUGGAACUGAGACACGGCCCAAACUCCUACGGGAGGCAGCAGUAGGGAAUCUUCCGCAAUGGACGCAAGUCGGACGGAGCAACGCCGCGUGAGUGAAGAAGGUUUUCGGAUCGUAAAACUCUGUUUUUAGGGAAGAACAAGUGCUAGAGUAACUGUUAGCGCCUUGACGGUAUCUAACCAGAAAGCCACGGCUAACUACGUG